AGAAAGAACGUUGGAACUGCUAAUUCCACAUCCCCAUAAUUAACACUAUGGCUUUCUU
rnacentral:tRNA from 1 species